rnacentral:rRNA from 1 species
GACAGAGGUGCCGAGCGUUAGGCGGAAUCACUGGGCUUAAAGCGUGUGUAGGCGGACUUCUAAGUACCUUGUGAAAUCCCACGGCUCAACCGUGGAACUGCUUGGUAUACUGUCAGGCUGGAGUCCGGAAGAGGGUGGUGGAAUUCCCAGUGUAGCGGUGAAAUGCGUAGAUAUUGGGAGGAACACCGAUGGCGAAGGCAGGUCUCUGGGCCACUACUGACGCUGAGAAGCGAAAGCAUGGGGAGCGAACAGG